AAGACAGGAAGUAUUUAUGUAUGUGUAGUUUCGGCCUACAAGGGGAAAGAAUUAUUUUCGCU
rnacentral:tRNA from 1 species